rnacentral:rRNA from 1 species
UACGGAGGAUUCGAGCGUUAUCCGGAUUUAUUGGGUUUAAAGGGUGCGUAGGCGGACCAAUAAGUCAGUGGUGAAAUACAUCAGCUUAACUGAUGCACUGCCAUUGAUACUGUUGGACUAGAAUAUAAAUGGUGCAGGCGGAAUGAAUCAUGUAGAGGUGACAUUCAUAGAUAUGAUUCAGAACACCGAUCGCGAAGGCAGCUUGCAAAGAUAUUAUUGACGCUGAUGCACGAAAGCGUGGGUAGCGAACAGGAUUAGAUACCCUGGUAGUCCACGCUGUAAACGAUGAUAACUCGUUGUCGGCGAUAGACAGUCGGUGACUAAGCGAAAGCGAUAAGUUAUCCACCUGGGGAGUACGAUCGCAAGGUUGAAACUCAAAGGAAUUGACGGGGGCCCGCACAAGCGGAGGAGCAUGUGGUUUAAUUCGAUGAUACGCGAGGAACCUUACCUAGACUUGAACGUAAGAGUGAUAUAUAAGAAAUUAUAUAGCUAGUAAUAGACUUUUACGAGGUGCUGCAUGGUUGUCGUCAGCUCGUGCCGUGAGGUGUCAGGUUAAGUCCUAUAACGAGCGCAACCCCUACACUUAGUUGCCAGCAUGUUAUGAUGGGGACUCUAAGUGGACUGCCAGCGCAAGCUGCGAGGAAGGUGGGGAUGACGUCAAAUCAGCACGGCCCUUACGUCUAGGGCGACACACGUGCUACAAUGGCCGGUACAGAGGGCAGCUACACAGUGAUGUGAUGCGAAUCUCGAAAGCCGGUCUCAGUUCGGAUCGGAGUCUGCAACCCGACUCCGUGAAGUUGGAUUCGCUAGUAAUCGCAGAUCAGCCAUGCUGCGGUGAAUACGUUCCCGGGCCU